rnacentral:rRNA from 1 species
UACGGAGGAUCCGAGCGUUAUCCGGAUUCAUUGGGUUUAAAGGGUGCGUAGGUUGUUUUAUAAGUUAGCGGUGAAAUACCGAUGCUCAACAUCGGGGCUGCCGCUGGUACUGUAGGACUAGAGAUCGGAUGCAGCAGGCGGAAUGUGUAGUGUAGCGGUGAAAUGCAUAGAUAUUACACAGAACACCGAUUGCGAAGGCAGCUUGCUAGGCCGGAUCUGACACUGAUGCACGAAAGCGUGGGGAUCGAACAGG